CUGAUCUCCAGAGGUCUACAGUUGGAAGGACAGGUGGUGACAGAAGGUGAGGACCUGCAGGUGCUUGUGACAUCUGUGCAAAAGAACUCCUCCCUUCCUUACCUCAGCACAUCGGCAAUACAAGACCGACUGAAACAGACGGUCUCACACUGUCAGGAGGUUACUGAGAUGCUCAGUUCUCAUGGAGUGAAGCGUGAAGGACAGCCUGUAGGUGCACAGCCUGCUUCCAAGGUUUUUGUGCAGGCCCAUUCUCAGCCUGAAUCCCAAACUAGAAUCAUUCAACACCAUCAGGAUCAGACGUUCUUCCAAAGCAGCAAACUUUCUCUAGAGAUCCCAGCAGAACCUCAAAACCAAGAACUCCAUUCUUCUCAGCUGCAGUCACAAUUGGAAACCACCAGUGGCAUACAGCCCCAGUUUCUCCCCCAGGUUCAUGAAAAAUCUCCAAAAGCCCAAAGCAAAACUAUAUGCCAAGUACAGCAUGCAGAGCUCAAACAGCCUUUGCUGUCAUCUGUUGUUAGCAGGAAGGCUCAGUUGAAACCCCAAACUGACGUUCAACUGAUCUCUGUAGACUCCAGCCUAACCAAUCGCUUUGGACCAUCAGACCUUCAAGCUGCCUCAGUAAAUUCAAGGCAAAACAGUGGCUUUGGACAUUUACAGGUUAUCUCUGUAGACCCAAACCAAUCCAGUGACUUUGGACCAUCAGAGCAACAGGUUCUUUCUGCCAACUCAAGCCAAACCAGUGGUUUUACACCAUUAGACUCUCUCCAAGUUAUAUCUGUAGACUCGGGCGAAACCAGGGGCUUUGGACCAUCAGAGCUUCAGGUUAUCUCUGUAGACUCAAGCCAGAGCAGUGGCAUUGAACAUUCAAACCCUCUACAGUCUUUCUCUUCAACUGCGUCUAGCACAAGCAUGUUGCUUACAUCGGUUACCAUGACUCAACUAAGAAUGCCAGUCGAGCAGCAUCUCGAUUCACCACCAAAUUGGCAACCACAAACCUCCUUGGUGACCCCACACCAAAGACAAAAGGUUCUGGCCAAAAGUCACAGUUUUCCAAAACCCCAUGAGCCAUCACAAACUCUGCCGGUUACCUCACUUGCAUCCAGCCCAAGCACUUUGCAUACACCGGAAACAGUGACUCAACAAAGAACGCCUAUCGAACAGAACCUUGGUUCACCACCGAAAAGGCAACCUCAGACCUCUGUGACAACCCAACACCAAAGACAAAGGGUUCUAUCCAAAAGUCACAGCUUUCCACAGCCAUCAGAGGCUCCAGGUGUUCUCCAUGUCCCAGUACAGAAUGAGGUGUAUGCCAGAGCUCAGGCUUUGGCCAGGAGCAGACUGGAUAAAGCAAAACAGCACCUGCAUGAACACAUACAGGAUGUCAUCACAGUGAUCAGCACCAGAGACAGAUCUAAAAAACAAGCCAAGAAAAAACAAGCAGUGUCACGUCUUCUCAGGCCUUCAGUGUUGGAGGCAUUUCUAGAAGCUGUGAAGGGAAUGGGUGAUUUCUGCUCCGAUGCCCAGCUCAGAGACAUGGACCUCUUCUCUCAGUCAGUCAGAGCCCAAUGGGAGGUAUGUGCCACAGCAGCUGAGCGUUAUGUGCAUCUGGAAGCCUUGAGAAAAAUUGCAGAGAGUCUGCAGCCCACAGAGAGUGUUCUUCUCCGCACCACCCAUCUGAGAACAGACACAGAGAGGGUGGAGAACAUUCAACGCCACACAGACUCCACAAGUGACUUGGCACCAUGCCAGGAUGGCAGGGGGGGAGCAGUUAAGGAUUGUGUCCUGCUGAGAAAGACUGCACUGGUGGAUGACCUGAGCCGCGUCCACUCACAGGCUGUUGUCCAGACCAACAUCGUGGAGAGAAAACAGAUACCAGAGAGGACCGUCAUCCAUCCCUGUUCGGCACAGGAACCUCAGAGCAGGUAAACAUUUUAGAUACAAUUUACCUUCAAGAAAUGGAUAUAUAUCCGUG
rnacentral:lncRNA from 1 species